UACGUAGGAUGCAAGCGUUGUCCGGAAUUAUUGGGCGUAAAGAGCGCGCAGGCGGUCUAUCAAGUCAGAUGUGAAAUAUCCGGGCUUAACCCGGAGGGGUCAUUUGAAACUGGUAGACUAGAGUACAGCAGAGGAUAGCGGAAUUCCCGGUGUAGUGGUGAAAUGCGUAGAUAUCGGGAGGAACACCAGUGGCGAAGGCGGCUAUCUGGGCUGAAACUGACGCUGAGG
rnacentral:rRNA from 1 species